rnacentral:snRNA from 1 species
GUGCUUGCUUCAGCAGCACAUAUGCUAAAACUGGAACAAUAGAGAAGAUUAGCAUGGCCCCUAUGUAAGGAUGACACACAAAUUUGUGAAGCAUUCCAUAUGUAA